ACUUUUUUUAUUUUUUGUUUUAAAACUUUCCCCUUUCUCACUUUCACUUUUUAUGUUAAAAAAAGAAAAAUUGAAAACUUCAAAUCUUUCACCCACUUCCCCACCGUGAACAAAAAAACUCCCUCUGAAAAUGGAGCAAGCAGUUUUUCAUCCCUUCCUUCAAUUCUUCCAACGAUGUGAAUAAUCAACCGUACUCCUAUCAUAUAUCGAGAACCGCCAUAGUAGAGCACCGUGAGCUGCCACUAUUUUUCUCGUACCAGCCGCCGUUCGAAGUUAUAUUUGCAGGUAUGAUUUUUCCAAACCCUCUCCCCCCCUAACGAGCAGUUCUAUUGUGUGAGGAUUCGAUUAUUUUCCUCUACAAUAUAUGAUAUUAAAUUUUCGUUAUUGGGGUUUUUUAGUGGUCAACUGAUUAAUCGAAUGGUUAUAGGUAUUUGUUGAGAGGUAUCAAAUUAGAUUGGAUGGAAAAGAACUGAUUCGAUAUACUCCAGUUCUAUAGGUAUUUGUUGAGAGGUAUCAAAUUCAAAUUUCCAUUCAAAUUGGAUUGGAUCAGCGAUUCCAGUUGUUCAACAACUUCAACUCUGACGACUUUUACUGAAUUCCCUUACGUGAGUAUUAAUUUCUAAUGCUAUUUGGUGAGCUCAAAUUCUCCCUAUAAUUUCCUUUUCUCCUAGCUAUGUUUUGGUGUUUGUUGUUAGUGAUAUCUCUUUUAUCAUAAGAGAACUAAGAUUUAAGCAGAUUUAAAUUACUAAUAUAUUAUUUUAUGGUAUCAUCCUUUUUACUAUUUAGAUUUUUGAUGUUGAUACUAUUUAGAAAGUUGAAGUAUGGUACUGAAUUCUUAGAGAAAUUAUAUUGUUUAGGUGAAAUAAAUGUGGUUUUUAGUAAUGAUGUUGAAAUGGAUUGCAAAGCUACCAAUGUCAUGUAUUAUUAUCUAGAGUAAUAUAUUGACAAUAAUAUUUUAUUUUUCAUCUUCAGUUUGCUACAAUGGACAAUCGAGUGACAUGCACAAGUGUUUCUUUUCCAGAUUUUCAAUUUGAUAAAUGUUUCAAAGCAGGGUAUUGCAAAAAUGUGGUAAUAUUUAAAGAGAAAAGAAGGUAACCAUCAAGAUAUAUUUUUAUUUUCUCUAUACAUUGUGAUGAUAAUUUACUGUUUGUAUGCAGUUCAUCCUACAGCAGCAGCAGCAGAGUGUGUUGUUUCUAUAAGUACGUGAAUCUUUAUUCUUUAGUUGAUCAAACCUUCACUUGGUAGUAUAUAUUCUCAAUAGUUUUUUUCACUUGAUCUUUUGAUGAACCUUUGCCUCACAUUCUCCUAGUACUAGUACAACAUAACGGCUCACUUGUCUCUCUGUUUAAAUUUCUGCUUGUGAUUCUUAAAUUCUGUGAACUGAUGAUUGCCAAGAGUAUGUUCUUUGAUCUUUUGAGGCAAUAGAAGCAUGAAAUGAUUGGACUUGCAAAGCAGAAAAAUAUAUAUCUAACCUUUGUGCUGCAAAAACUCUAAAUCUAAAUCUGAACUCUAACCAGAAAUCUAAUAAUCAGGCAUUCGGUUUUUUUAGAAAUUUCCUCCAAUUUUGGUCUAUGAUCUACAUAGGCAAAGAGCUCUCUAUCUACUCCAGCGUUAUUUGUGUGUCCAGUAAGUAUCAAUCUUAAACUCAUCUUUGAAGCUCAUUUUUCUCAUUCUUCGAACAUUUGAUCUUGUUUGUGUUGAAACAUUUGACUGUAGGUGCAAUUAUGCCUACUGCCACCCCAAAAGACUAGAGCAAUAACACCCCAUACAUGAAAGCAGCUAUGUAGAUUCAAUUGUACUUCAUCACCAGAUCUCAACUUGUACGCGAAUGAGGGUAUUGAGCAUAGAAAUUAUGCUUGAAGAAAUGCAGGUAAUGGAGCGUGCAAUCACAAAUGGAGUGCUACUAGCUUUGGGAGAAUAGAAGAACACCUGCUACUAUUUAGUAGUUUUUGUAGCAUGAUAAUUAUAUGUCAUGCGCUUUAGCUAUUUUAUUAAAAGAUUGGUUAGGUUUUGUACUAUUUAGAAUGCGAAUAAUAGUUCAUGGAGUUUUAUUUUUUUGUUUUUGGAUUACUUUUUUAUUGAUAUGACUAUGUAAUUAAUUCUCUUUUUAGAUUUGAAAUAAAUAGAAAUAUUUCAUUUC
rnacentral:lncRNA from 1 species